CAGUCGCCGCGGGAAUACGAAGGUCCCGAGCGUUGUUCGGAAUCACUGGGCGUAAAGGGAGCGUAGGCGGCGUGGUAAGUCAGAUGUGAAAUCCCGGGGCUCAACCCCGGAACUGCAUCCGAUACUGCCAUGCUAGAGGAUUGGAGAGGUAGCUGGAAUUCUUGGUGUAGCAGUGAAAUGCGUGGAGAUCAAGAGGAACACUCGUGGCGAAAGCGAGCUACUGGACAAUAACUGACGCUGAGGCUCGAAGGCCAGGGUAGCGAAAGGGAUUAGAUACCCCUGUAGUCCCUGUCUCUUAUAU
rnacentral:rRNA from 1 species